rnacentral:rRNA from 1 species
UACGGGGGGGGCAAGCGUUGUUCGGAAUUACUGGGCGUAAAGGGCUCGUAGGUGGCCAACUAAGUCAGACGUGAAAUCCCACGGCUCAACCGUGGAAGGUCAUUGGAAACUGGGGGACUUGAGUACAGAAGAGGAAAGCGGAAUUCCAAGUGUAGCGGUGAAAUGCGUAGAGAUUUGGAGGAACACCAGUGGCGAAGGCAGCUCUCUGGGACGGUACUGACGCUGAGACGCGAAAGCGUGGGGAGCGAACAGG